CAGAUGCCCCUCUUAGUUAAUCCUCUCUGGAAAAGCCUUUGACCAACCCAAAGGUAUACCUGUGUCUCCUAGGCGAUGCUAAAUCCAAUCAAAUAUGGCAACCAAAACUAGCUAUCACAACAUCUGGACCACAUAAGUCAUUCAUCCAGAGAAGUAUCCUACAUGCAAGACAUUAGAAGUAUCCGUGGUAGAUAUAUAACUUAGGUACAUCUUGGGCAGAGGUUUGGCAUUUUGACAGGGAGUCCUUCUGAGACCAUCCCAUGAGGAGAGACAACCAUGGUCUGACACAUUACUGACAGUAGAAAAUUUCAUCUGCGUCCAACACAGUGCCAAUAGUGUAACAAACGCAUCAACUUCUAAGAAGCCAGAUGAGAGACUACAUAUGAGUAACCUCAGGCAACCUGCCUGAAUUGUCCACAACCCACGAUGAAAAUUGAAAUCCUUUCCAAGAACCUUGACUCACGCAUACAGACCUAAGAUCCAGCUAGGUUUAACUUUUACUUCUCCGCGCACCACGGCAUCAAAAUUCAUUUCCCCAAAGAGCAAGGCAAUGCCAGAUUCCAAAAGAAGAGAAAAACAACCGGGUCAAGAAACCUUCCCACAUCACAAGCACGCUCAAACGCAGCGAGCUCACGUCCGAGGGGCACGGCGCUAGGUGGCAGAAGAGAGCCGGAGACGCGCUAGGCCGACUGCAGCAGCCGCUGAGCAUCUCUUCUAGUUCCUUCCCACUUUACCCUGGCUCAGGCCUCAAAGGCUCAGCCGAAUUCUAACAACAGGUUCUUCAUUAAGGGGUACACUGCUACGAGAUAAACAUGGCUUUUUCAGCCGCUCAAUUGCAUCCUAUUUGAAGAGAUUAUGCCCAUAUUCCAGGCUCCUUUGCUGUACAACGCUGUUUAGCAAACCAGUUCAAAACCCUGGCCCCACCCGGCACCCCUUCCCUCAGCAACACAAGCACAUCUAGUAUCUAUGGCAUAAUCUUCCCGGCUCCUGCUACAGGAAGCAGAUCCUGUGCUUUUGACAUGUGUCUCCAUCACUUAGAGCUAUGAAAUCCAGGGCAGCUGGCUUCAUCCUCCCGAGCUGCGUUUCACCAUCUGAAAAUGGAGGACAGCAUGAGGACUUUUCUCGAUAGGUCAUUUAUGAGACUGAGACGGCUAACUGUCACAGAUGACGUGAGAAGUCAGCAGAUGUUAGGUGCCGGCAGGGUUAGAUUUAUUAUGCCCACACGUCCACUCUCAGAGCUUGUGGGGCUAAGGUGGGCUUCUUAUGGUGACUAAGGAACGAAUUGGACCUGGCUUCUGGAAUCAUACUUCCUGGUGCUUCAAGCUCUUGAUGCAAAGGCAACACAUAGUUUAAUGAUGUUAGUUUAACCUGGGGGAGAAUCUAGGACGGAGAAAAUGCCCCUGUACCAUUACAGUUUGAAACAAGGGGUAUUGUGCUGCAGAUACGUGAAGCUAAAUCUCAGCUUUACUACUUAGUCCCCAGAUAACUUUGUCAAAGUUACAAUAUUCUCUCUGAACUUCGCUU
rnacentral:lncRNA from 1 species